rnacentral:lncRNA from 1 species
CGGGCAUGCAAUUUUUACAUUGAUGUAUGAUACUAUCGCGGAGAAAUCAGUUCUGAAUUUGGGGAAACAUGCUUUGUAUUUCAAUACCUAUCGGUCGUUUACGUUUGAAUCGAGAAUUUCUCAAAAAUCAUGAGGUGACAUUGCGGAAUUUUACUGAAAAUCGAGGGCGCCAUAAACUUCUCCCUGGAGCUUCUCUAGAGCGAAGUGGGGAGACCUAGAGCGACUUUGUCGCUCACUUCGCCUGGUGUGGUGACCCC